CAGAGGGUGCAAGCGUUAAUCGGAAUUACUGGGCGUAAAGCGCGCGUAGGUGGUUCGUUAAGUUGGAUGUGAAAGCCCCGGGCUCAACCUGGGAACUGCAUCCAAAACUGGCGAGCUAGAGUAUGGUAGAGGGUGGUGGAAUUUCCUGUGUAGCGGUGAAAUGCGUAGAUAUAGGAAGGAACACCAGUGGCGAAGGCGACCACCUGGACUGAUACUGACACUGAGGUGCGAAAGCGUGGGGAGCAAACAGGAUU
rnacentral:rRNA from 1 species